rnacentral:rRNA from 1 species
GACGAACGCUGGCGGCGUGCUUAACACAUGCAAGUCGUACGGAAAGGCCCUGGCUUUGGUUGGGGUGCUCGAGUGGCGAACGGGUGAGUAACACGUGGGUGAUCUGCCCUGCACUUUGGGAUAAGCCUGGGAAACUGGGUCUAAUACUGGAUAGGACCAUGCUUUUGUGUGUCAUGGUGGAAAGGCUUCUUUUUGGGGCUGGUGUGGGAUGAGCUUGCGGCCUAUCAGCUUGUUGGUGGGGUAAUGGCCUACCAAGGCGUCGACGGGUAGCCGGCCUGAGAGGGUAUACGGCCACAUUGGGACUGAGAUACGGCCCAGACUCCUGCGGGAGGCAGCAGUAGGGAAUAUUGCACAAUGGGCGCAAGCCUGAUGCAGCGACGCCGCGUGAGGGAUGACGGCCUUCGGGUUGUAAACCUCUUUCGCUGGGGACGAAGCUUUUUUUGGUGACGGUACCUGGAGAAGAAGCACCGGCUAACUACGUG